AUUGAACGCUGGCGGCAUGCCUUACACAUGCAAGUCGAACGGCAGCGGACCUUCGGGUGCCGGCGAGUGGCGAACGGUGAGUAAUGCAUCGGAACGUGCCAUUGAGUGGGGAUAACGUAGCGAAAGUUACGCUAAUACCGCAUAUUCUGUGAGCAGGAAAGCAGGGGACCGCAAGGCCUUGCGCUCUUUGAGCGGCCGAUGUCAGAUUAGCUAGUUGGUGAGGUAAAGGCUUACCAAGGCGACGAUCUGUAGCGGGUCUGAGAGGAUGAUCCGCCACACUGGAACUGAGACACGGUCCAGACUCCUACGGGAGGCAGCAGUGGGGAAUUUUGGACAAUGGGCGCAAGCCUGAUCCAGCCAUGCCGCGUGAGUGAAGAAGGCCUUCGGUGUAAG
rnacentral:rRNA from 1 species